rnacentral:lncRNA from 1 species
AUUUCAAGAACUAUUUCAGUUCAGAUUACACUAAAAAACACUCUUAAGAAAAACCAUUCCAAUUACAAUUUCAUUUCACAUCAAGGAUAUUAGUUUCACAAAUCUGCAUUUCACAUCACAUAGCAGUUCCACAUAUCUACAUAUUUAUUUCAAUGUCGGAACAACAAUGUGACAUAUAUCACACAAUCUGCUUCAAAUCUUCACAUCAAUUUCAAUUUGACACCUUCCCUUCCAUUGGUUGAAUAUUUUGGUGGAUUCCAUAACUGAAACAUUUAGUAUAUUUCAAAUUCACAAGCAUGGGGAGCUGUCCAUCUGAUGAAGAAGCAAGGGUGGGAGCUGAAAUCAUGUAGCAUAAAUCGAAAAUCAGGAAGUACAGAGAAAGAGAUGUUAAUACGCGGAUGUGGUGGACAACCUGAUCCCGGGGGGUGUGUCACACCUGCAAUACGCGGAUGACACACUCCUCCUUUUCGAGCCCGACACACACAGUAUCGCAACGGUCAAGGCCAUUCUGUUGUGUUUUGAACUCAUGUCGGGGCUUAAAAUCAACUUCCACAAGUGUGAAGUGAUGUCCAUAGGGAUGGACGCGGCCGAAAGUCAGCGGGUAGCCAUUGCUUAACUGCAAACUUGGCCAGUUUCCGUUCACUUACCUCGGCCUCCCGAUCGCGGCGAAGAAAUGUUCGAUCGCCGAUUGGGAACCUCUCACCUCCAAGGUAGCGGGCAGGGUGUGUCCGUGGAGAGGUAGAUUUAUGUCUUCAGGGGCUAGACUAAUCUUAACCAACUCCAGCCUCUCAUCCUUACCUAUGUUCGCCAUGGGUUUGUUCUUGCUGGCAGAUGGGGUACACACUAAGUUGGAUACCCCGUGGUCCCGUUUCUUUUGGGAAGGAGCGGGACCCAAACAGAAAUACCAUAUGGUCAAAUGGCAGGCCGUUUGCAGACCUAAAGCCCAGCGGGGCCUUGGGAUCAUCAACUCCAAGCUGAUGAAUAUUGCACUCAUGUGCAAAUGGAUCUGGAAGAUGUCUCAGGGUGAGACUGGCCUCUGGAUCGACCUUCUCCGUGCGAAAUACUUCCCGAAUGGGAAUUUCUUCGAGGCGGCCUCUUGUGGGUCCCCUUUCUGGAACUCCAUUCAAGCCCUAAAACCCUUCUUCGCCAGGGGCGCGAAGUUUGGGGUUAACAACGGGCGCUCCACGCGGUUUUGGCUAGACCUUUGGAUUGGCCAACAACCCCUAUGGUCGGAGUUUCGCCAACUCUACUCCAUUGCAGUCGAGCCCAACCAAUUGGUUGCUUCGGCUCUUAGCUCCUCCCCACCCUACCUCAACUUCAGAAGAGAAUUAUCGGGGACGGAAAUGGCGGAGUGGGACCGCCUUCGGGAUUUGAUCGCGGAUGUUCGCCUGUCGAACUCUGCGGAUGUUCGCCUGUCGGACUCCGCGGACACGGUCUCUUGGAGACUUUCGGGCUCUGGCAAAUUCUCUGUCAAUUCCUUAUACAGAGAGCUUACCCGCGGCCAGGUCCCUUCGGCUGCCAUGGGGCUUUGGAAGGCUAAAAUCCCUCUCAAGAUCAAGGUCUUCCUCUGGCAACUCUGCCAAGAUCGCCUUCCUACCUCUACCAACCUUGCUAAGCGCAACGGCCCCGCCUCCGGCCCUUGUGCUUUGUGUAGGGUUCCGGAAGAUGCUGACCACGCUUUCUUCCGGUGCUCUUUGGCGCGCUUUGCUUGGAGCGCGGUCCGUGAAGCCGCUGGGGUGGAUUGGGAUCCCCGCUCCCGAGCCGCGCUAGUGUCUUCUUUGUCAUUGGUUCAUGGCCCGGCUCGUCGGGUCAUGUGGACGUGUGCGGCGACCAUGUUAUGGGCUAUCUGGCAUAUUCGUAACAAGUUUACUAUCGAGGGCGUAUUUCCCUCGCAUCCCGCUGACGUUAUCUUCAAAUGCAUCGUUUUCUUGCAGCAAUGGGCACCGCUGGGCAGACAACAGGACUCUGAUCUUCAUCGCCAAGCUCUUUGCCGUCUUCGCUUAGUUUACGCCGAGUCCUGCGCUCCGUCGUCCGCGCCGUCUGCUGUCGCAUAGGGAUGGGCAGCCCCUUUUGGUUGUAGUUUCAGCCGAGCCUGCAUGCUCGUUUCGCUAGGCCGGACGUGCCUUGUAACGUACUUUAUUUCUUCUCCGGUUGCUGUUUCCAAGACCUGCUCGUCUUUUGUCUGGUGCCGUGUGUUGAUCAUGUGGUUGUCAUAUGCUGCCUAUGUUGUGGGCUUUAUUAAUUUAAAGCCGGACGUCCCUGACGUCUAUGUUCUAAAAAAAAAAGAUGUUAAGGAAGUUGUGCUUACCUCGGUGGAUCCUGACCUGCUUCCUCGUCCGCGUCGGCGACAACUGGAUCUGGUUGACUUGGGGUGUAUCCCAUGAUUUCCGGUUGGAUCUCCAAAGUCCAGAGUGAGGACCAGGGAGGCGGUGGUGGGCACCGGGGCGCGGGGAUCCGCUACCGGCGGCAACACAGAGGCACUGCACCACGUCCUGACUGUUCGUCAGAUCCGGCGGGGGAGUCCGUUUCCACGGCGGCUUGUCGAGGUAGGGGAUUGGUUACUCAAGGAGGGAGACUGACUCCAGCCGGCGUAGUAGGUAGAGAGCAGCGGCCGCCGUACGACGGAGAGAGCAGGGGCCGGCGUUGA